UACGUAGGGGGCAAGCGUUGUCCGGAAUCAUUGGGCGUAAAGCGCGUGUAGGCGGCUCGGUAAGUCCGGUGUGAAACCUUGGGGCUCAACCCCAAGCCUGCACUGGAUACUGUCGAGCUCGAGUCCGGGAGGGGAGAGCGGAAGUCUAGUGUAGCGGUGAAAUGCGCAGAUAUUAGGAAGAACACCGGUGGCGAAGGCGGCUCUCUGGAACGGUACUGACGCUGAGACGCGAAAGCGUGGGGAGCGAACGAGG
rnacentral:rRNA from 1 species